rnacentral:rRNA from 1 species
CCCUUAGAUGUUCUGGGCCGCACGCGCGCUACACUGAUGCAUUCAACGAGUCUAAAACCUGCUCUGAUAGGGGUGGGUAAUCUUUUGAAUGUGCAUCGUGAUUGGGAUAGAUGAUUGCAAUUUUUCAUCUUCAACGAGGAAUGCCUAGUAAACGCAAGUCAUCAGCUUGCAUUGAUUACGUCCCUGCCCCUUGUACACACCGCCCGUCGCUCCUACCGAUUGAAUGAUCCGAUGAAUAUCAUGGAUUGAGGAUGCAAGCAGGUUCGCCUGUCUUCAUCUUCGAGAAGUGAAGUAAAUCUUAUCAUUUAGAGGAAGGAGAAGUCGUAACA